rnacentral:SRP_RNA from 1 species
ACUGGGCGUGCGCCUGUAGUCUAGUUACUUGGAGGCCAGGGUGUGGGAUUUCGUGGGACCGGGAGUUCUGGCAUAUGGGUGCUCGUGUUGAUCGGGCGUCCACGUUAAGCGCGGCGCCGAUAUGGAUGACCUGUCAGAGGGUGAAUUGUCCAGGUCUUCUAAGGAGGAACGGACCGGCCCAGGGGGAAACCCAGCAGGCAAAAGUCCCCCCGUGGUGCGGUAGCGGGACAGCACUUGUGAAUGGUGUCCAUCUGACAGCCCGGUUGGCGCGUGAAGAUUCAAU